GUAUAGCUCAGUCGGCAAAGAGCAGGAGGCUCUUAACCUCAGGGCCAUGGAUUUGAGCCCCAUGUUGGGCA